rnacentral:rRNA from 1 species
UACGUAGGGGGCAAGCGUUGUCCGGAUUUAUUGGGCGUAAAGAGCGUGUAGGCGGUUAGGUAGGUCCGUUGUGAAAACUCGAGCUCAACCUCGAGACGCCGAUGGAAACCCCCUAACUAGAGUCCGGAAGAGGAGAGUGGAAUUCCUGGUGUAGCGGUGAAAUGCGCAGAUAUCAGGAAGAACACCAAUGGCGAAGGCAGCUCUCUGGGACGGUACUGACACUGAGACGCGAAAGCGUGGGGAGCGAACGAGG